AGAGUUUGAUCCUGACUCAGGACGAACGCUGGCGGCGUGCCUAAUACAUGCAAGUAGAACGCUGAAGAGAGGAGCUUGCUCUUCUUGGAUGAGUUGCGAACGGGUGAGUAACGCGUAGGUAACCUGCCUUGUAGCGGGGGAUAACUAUUGGAAACGAUAGCUAAUACCGCAUAACAAUGGAUGACACAUGUCAUUUAUUUGAAAGGGGCAAUUGCUCCACUACAAGAUGGACCUGCGUUGUAUUAGCUAGUAGGUGAGGUAAUGGCUCACCUAGGCGACGAUACAUAGCCGACCUGAGAGGGUGAUCGGCCACACUGGGACUGAGACACGGCCCAGACUCCUACGGGAGGCAGCAGUAGGGAAUCUUCGGCAAUGGGGGCAACCCUGACCGAGCAACGCCGCGUGAGUGAAGAAGGUUUUCGGAUCGUAAAGCUCUGUUGUAAGUCAAGAACGGGUGUGAGAGUGGAAAGUUCACACUGUGACGGUAGCUUACCAGAAAGGGACGGCUAACUACGUGCCAGCAGCCGCGGUAAUACGUAGGUCCCGAGCGUUGUCCGGAUUUAUUGGGCGUAAAGCGAGCGCAGGCGGUUUGAUAAGUCUGAAGUUAAAGGCUGUGGCUCAACCAUAGUUCGCUUUGGAAACUGUCAAACUUGAGUGCAGAAGGGGAGAGUGGAAUUCCAUGUGUAGCGGUGAAAUGCGUAGAUAUAUGGAGGAACACCGGUGGCGAAAGCGGCUCUCUGGUCUGUAACUGACGCUGAGGCUCGAAAGCGUGGGGAGCGAACAGGAUUAGAUACCCUGGUAGUCCACGCCGUAAACGAUGAGUGCUAGGUGUUGGAUCCUUUCCGGGAUUCAGUGCUGCAGCUAACGCAUUAAGCACUCCGCCUGGGGAGUACGACCGCAAGGUUGAAACUCUAAGGAAUUGACGGGGACCCGCACAAGCGGUGGAGCAUGUGGUUUAAUUCGAAGCAACGCGAAGAACCUUACCAAGUCUUGACAUCCCUCUGACGGACUCUUAACCGAGUCUUUCCUUCGGGACAGAGGAGACAGGUGGUGCAUGGUUGUCGUCAGCUCGUGUCGUGAGAUGUUGGGUUAAGUCCCGCAACGAGCGCAACCCCUAUCCCCAGUAGCCAGCAUUUUGGAUGGGCACUCUGAGGAGACUGCCAGGGAUAACCUGGAGGAAGGCGGGGAUGACGUCAAAUCAUCAUGCCCCUUAUGAUUUGGGCUACACACGUGCUACAAUGGCGUAAACAAAGGGAAGCGAGCCUGCGAGGGUAAGCAAAUCCCAAAAAUAACGUCCCAGUUCGGACUGCAGUCUGCAACUCGACUGCACGAAGCUGGAAUCGCUAGUAAUCGCGGAUCAGAAUGCCGCGGUGAAUACGUUCCCGGGUCUUGUACACACCGCCCGUCA
rnacentral:rRNA from 1 species